rnacentral:lncRNA from 1 species
GAACAGUGAAGUCGAUUGGAUUAGCAACAUUGCAAAAUGGAAAAAUGGACAUGCUGAAAUAACCACCAGUGUGUUUGGAAUGUUAGUAUACUGUCUGUGGCGGGAAAGGAACAAGAUUAGAUUCCAAGACGGAAGCUCAAUUAUAAAGGAUACAUGCAAAGAGAUAGCAGUUCAUGUGCACAUUCAGGGAACUUCUCUUAAACACUGGAAGGAUGUUUUGCGAAGACUGGAUCACUACCCGUAGGAAAAAGAAGGGAAGCAUUAUAUGUUUGUCUUGAUUUAAUGUAUAAAGAGCAUAUGGGAGUGUUUUCAUUUUAGACUGGUUGGAAAC